UGGGGAAUAUUGCACAAUGGGCGCAAGCCUGAUGCAGCCAUGCCGCGUGUGUGAAGAAGGCCUUCGGGUUGUAAAGCACUUUCAGUCGUGAGGAAGGUGGUGUAGUUAAUAGCUGCAUUAUUUGACGUUAGCGACAGAAGAAGCACCGGCUAACUCCGUGCCAGCAGCCGCGGUAAUACGGAGGGUGCGAGCGUUAAUCGGAAUUACUGGGCGUAAAGCGCAUGCAGGUGGGUGAUUAAGUCAGAUGUGAAAGCCCGGGGCUCAACCUCGGAACAGCAUUUGAAACUGGUCACCUAGAGUACUGUAGAGGGGGGUAGAAUUUCAGGUGUAGCGGUGAAAUGCGUAGAGAUCUGAAGGAAUACCGGUGGCGAAGGCGGCCCCCUGGACAGAUACUGACACUCAGAUGCGAAAGCGUGGGGAGCAAACAGGAUUAGAUACCCCCGUAGUCC
rnacentral:rRNA from 1 species